rnacentral:tRNA from 1 species
CGGGGUGUAGCUCAGCUUGGUAGAGCGCUUGCUUCGGGAGCAAGAGGCCGUAGGUUCGAAUCCUAUCACCCCGACCA